rnacentral:rRNA from 1 species
GAUGAACGCUGGCGGCGUGCCUAAUACAUGCAAGUCGAGCGAACAGAUGAGGAGCUUGCUCCUCUGACGUUAGCGGCGGACGGGUGAGUAACACGUGGAUAACCUACCUAUAAGACUGGGAUAACUUCGGGAAACCGGAGCUAAUACCGGAUAAUAUAUUGAACCGCAUGGUUCAAUAGUGAAAGACGGUUUUGCUGUCACUUAUAGAUGGAUCCGCGCCGCAUUAGCUAGUUGGUAAGGUAACGGCUUACCAAGGCAACGAUGCGUAGCCGACCUGAGAGGGUGAUCGGCCACACGGGAACGGAGACACGGUCCAGACUCCUACGGGAGGCAGCAGUAGGAAUCUUCCGCAAUGGGCGAAAGCCUGACGGAGCAACGCCGCGUGAGUGAUGAAGGUCUUCGGAUCGUAAAACUCUGUUAUUAGGGAAGAACAAAUGUGUAAGUAACUAUGCACGUCUUGACGGUACCUAAUCAGAAAGCCACGGCUAACUACGUG